AGAGAGAAUUCAAAUAUUAAUUAUAAAAGCUAGCCGUAAUAUACCUUUAUUUUUGGACCGCGCCGGCCAAACCCCUUUGAGGCUCCCGCGCCUUAUAUGUGGGACUCGGAGGCCAAAGAUUUUGGAGGCCUACCCAAUAAACGACCCCUCUGCAUUCUCGACUAAUUCCUGACCCUCACAGAACCCGAGGUAAGGGAGAUUUGGCGGUCAACACUUAGCAGCAUUAUACCCAGAGGAUCGUCAUCCGUUGGGGUGAAGUGAUAGAAAAAACUCUACACUAUACUGGUUUUGGGGCUUUACUUUGUUCAACUCCAACGUAUCCAGCUAGCCGCAUUCAAUGCGUGAGUGUGAAUAUGAAAUGCUGCGAGAAUUCCCUCUUCGGAAAAAAAACCUGACGGUACUACAGAGUUUUCUUGGGCUUUCGUGAGUCAAGAUAUUACGUAGAGUCGGUAGAUCAGAGAUCCAUUUGAUGUCGUCGAUACCACAUUUCUAUUGUCUUAUAUUUCAUAUCUUCACUAAUUUUCUCUAUUAACAAACCAUCGGGCUUAGACAGCGUCAACACUGAACUGACUCACCCUCGCAUGAAGCAUAUUAGCAAGGAUAUUACAGGAAUUUCAAUGUAUUACGAUUAAGAAACCUGUCCACUUUUUUUUUUAUUCUUGUUGCACGAACAAAAAAUGCUGCCAUAUAUAUUUUAAGCAUAACGAUGUUCGCCUUAUCGUAGAACGCUUAAACGAAAAAGUGACGCAACGCGAUUCCGACCGAAAGGAGUUGUAAUCAGAAUCACUUUUUAUUUGCAUACCGAGAGCCAGACCGAAACGAGAAAAAAAAAGAAAUCCUGAUGUCCUUGAUACCUUGUUACCCACACUUCGAUCUUGUGUGACGCAUGCAACAAUGCUGUGUGUGAGCUAAGCCCGUUAGAAUAACAACCUUAUUCUGAAGCAGGUAAAGUUAAUAUUAUUUAUACUCCUUUAAUUGAGAUGUAUCAGGACGUUUUGUUCGUUUUUCUGGACACUAUUUAUGUGAUUUGAGCUCCGACGACGAUGACUUGUUCAUAAACAUAGUUUCUGAUUUAAAGUAAAUCUGCUAUCUGUUUUUUUCUUUUUAUACAAAAAUUUGACAGGCAUUUAAUUUUCAUUUUAUAUUUCAUUUAUUUCAAACUCAGUUGAACAGUUUAAUUACAAAAUUACGUAAAAAAAAUUAGCGCCCGCUACAUCAAGCUAUGUUCAGUGUUUUCGUGUGGUCUCCGUCUCUGUCUGUAGGAGCUACGUGUGCUUUCAAUGAGAAACAGUUAAAACAGAAACAGAAAAAAAACAUGAUGUUUUAAUCUUCCAAGCUGAAUGUACACAAAACGGCGUGUUAUUAUGAAAUAUCUUUCCUGUGCUUUUGAUAUCUAAUGUCAAACGUUGGAAGAAGAAAAAAUUUCGCAAAAUCCCUCAGGCUGAACCCCGUAAGCUCUCCUACACUAAGAUAACUAACAGUAGGUAGUCAAAAAAAAUUAAGACAUUCGAAAUUCUUACUAAUUACUGGUUCAUAGCAGGAAAAGGCAAGGUGGUUCUUUACCCUUGUUGGCACAUAAAUAUUUUUUUUUUUUUUAUUGCUUAGAUGGGUGGACGAGCUCACAGCCCACCUGAUGUUAAGUGGUUACUGGAGCCCAUAGACAUCUACAACGUAGACGCGCCACCCACCUUGAGAUACAAGUUCUAAAGUCUCAGUAUAGUUACGCCAUACAGACGCCUGGCCUUCCCGAGAAUGAUCUUGAUAAUUCUAGGGAUGACGUAUUGGCUAUAAAAACAUUGCAGAGAUAACACGGAGGCAGUUAGUAAUCGGAUCUACUCGAAGCGAAACAGCGAACGGAUCACUUGAAGCCAAGCGGAAGAAGUGAAUUACGAAUUGUAAAGUGUUCUGAAGGACCGGCCAGUCGCCUGGACCAUGACUCCAGCACGGACCGCCGAGAUUGGACCCUCUGCACUCUAAGCACACUAGGGCUGGGACGCGCCACCCCCGCGCACGAAGGUCAGCCCGCCACUGAUAUUCAGCGGAGAGCGCCUCCGCCUCCAGGACCCAAGGCGGCGCCCCAGCCAGUAUACACGCCGCUUCGAGGGAGAUGGUACGAUAACCACGGAUGACCCUGACGGCAAUGGUGUAUUGCGACCGUUGCAGCAGCUUCGCCACCCCCACGACCAGGGAAUGACCCACACGGGCGCCCCAUAUAGGGCCAUUGAUCGCAUCACCCCUGUAUAAAGACGGCGCGACUCCUGGUCAGGCCCCCCGACGUUGGGUAGAAGCCGGUUUAACGCGCCGGCCAUCCACAACAAACGAGGGACCAAGUUCUGAAAAUGAGCACGGUAGGUCCAACGACUGUCCAGAAUGAGGCCGAGGUACUUCAACUGCACCCUGACCCCAAUACAGACGCCAGAAAUAGGUUUUUUUUAUAUAUAAAUGAUUGCCUUUUAAAAUCUUUGUGUACAAGAAUAUUGUACAGAUUAUUCAGAUCUUAAUUUACAUAAACGUAAAUAAAUGUUUCCAUUCUAAUUUAUAUGACUGCUAAUAUUAAAAAUUAGUGGUUAUUAAUAUUACAAUAUAACAAUCCCGUUUUGUUCCCUUUUUUCUCUUAAUAAACUGGAUACAAUUCCAU